UACGAAGGGGGCUAGCGUUGCUCGGAAUUACUGGGUGUAAAGCGCACGUAGGCGGCUUUUUAAGUCGGAGGUGAAAUCCUGGAGCUCAACUCCAGAACUGCCUUCGAUACUGGAGAGCUUGAGUCCGGGAGAGGUGAGUGGAACUGCGAGUGUAGAGGUGAAAUUCGUAGAUAUUCGCAAGAACACCAGUGGCGAAGGCGGCUCACUGGCCCGGUACUGACGCUGAGGUGCGAAAGCGUGGGGAGCAAACAGG
rnacentral:rRNA from 1 species